rnacentral:rRNA from 1 species
CUGUACAGUUCAGAGUUUGAUCCUGGCUCAGGAUGAACGCUAGCGGCAGGCUUAACACAUGCAAGUCGAGGGGCAGCAUGAGACGGAGAUUCGUCGAAGUCUUGAUGGCGACCGGCGCAAGGGUGCGUAACGCGUGAGCAACUUGCCCGUUUCAGGGGGAUAACCGGUGGAAACGCCGACUAAUACCCCAUAGUAUCACUUUAGGGCAUCCUUUAGUGAUUAAAGAACUUCGGAAACGGAUAGGCUCGCGUGACAUUAGCUAGAUGGCGGGGUAACGGCCCACCAUGGCGACGAUGUCUAGGGGUUCUGAGAGGAAGGUCCCCCACACUGGAACUGAGACACGGUCCAG